rnacentral:rRNA from 1 species
UACGGAGGGUGCAAACGUUGCUCGGAAUCAUUGGGCGUAAAGCGCACGUAGGCGGUCUUAUAAGUCGGGAGUGAAAGCCCUGGGCUCAACCCAGGAAGUGCUCUCGAAACUGCAAGGCUUGAGUAUGGAAGAGGGUCGCGGAAUUCCCGGUGUAGAGGUGAAAUUCGUAGAUAUCGGGAGGAACACCAGUGGCGAAGGCGGCGACCUGGGCCAAUACUGACGCUGAGGUGCGAAAGCGUGGGGAGCAAACAGG